GAGGUAUGAGGAUAAUAUUGAUACAGUCUGAUACUAUAAUGAAGACUGUCAGAUCCAACUCUGAUCUCCCAAAGUGU